UACGAAGGGGGCUAGCGUUGCUCGGAAUCACUGGGCGUAAAGGGUGCGUAGGCGGGGCUUUAAGUCAGGGGUGAAAUCCUGGAGCUCAACUCCAGAACUGCCUUUGAUACUGAGGAUCUUGAGUUCGGGAGAGGUGAGUGGAACUGCGAGUGUAGAGGUGAAAUUCGUAGAUAUUCGCAAGAACACCAGUGGCGAGGGCGGCUCACUGGCCCGGUACUGACGCUGAGGUGCGAAAGCGUGGGGAGCAAACAGG
rnacentral:rRNA from 1 species